AGAUAAUGAGUUUGAAUAAACAUAUAUUUUGAAAAUAUAAAAUAGAAUUAAUAUUUCUAUUAUCUU
rnacentral:tRNA from 1 species